GGGACCCGCACAAGCAGCGGAGCGUGUGGUUUAAUUCGUUGCUACACGAAGAACCUUACCUGGGUUUGACAUAUAGGUUGUAGGGAACUGAAAGGGACCGACCCUUCGGGGAGCCUAUACAGGUGUUGCAUGGCUGUCGUCAGCUCGUGUCGUGAGAUGUUCGGUUAAGUCCGCUAACGAGCGCAACCCUCGUCGUAUGUUAUAUGUGUCAUACGAGACUGCCGGUAAAAGCCGGAGGAAGGUGAGGAUGAUGUCAAGUCAGCAUGACCUUUAUAUCCAGGGCUACACACACGCUACAAUGGUCUGUACAAUGGGUAGCCAAGCCGCGAGGCGGAGCCAAUCCUGAAAGCAGGCCUCAGUUCAGAUUGCAGUCUGCAACUCGACUGCAUGAAGCCGGAGUUGCUAGUAACCGCAGGUCAGCAAUACUGCGGUGAAUACGUUCCCGGGUCUU
rnacentral:rRNA from 1 species